rnacentral:rRNA from 2 species
UAGGGAAUCUUCGGCAAUGGACGAAAGUCUGACCGAGCAACGCCGCGUGAGUGAAGAAGGUUUUCGGAUCGUAAAACUCUGUUGUUAGAGAAGAACAAGGACGUUAGUAACUGAACGUCCCCUGACGGUAUCUAACCAGAAAGCCACGGCUAACUACGUGCCAGCAGCCGCGGUAAUACGUAGGUGGCAAGCGUUGUCCGGAUUUAUUGGGCGUAAAGCGAGCGCAGGCGGUUUCUUAAGUCUGAUGGGAAAGCCCCCGGCUCAACCGGGGAGGGUCAUUGGAAACUGGGAGACUUGAGUGCAGAAGAGGAGAGUGGAAUUCCAUGUGUAGCGGUGAAAUGCGUAGAUAUAUGGAGGAACACCAGUGGCGAAGGCGGCUCUCUGGUCUGUAACUGACGCUGAGGCUCGAAAGCGUGGGGAGCAAACAGG